UUUUCAGCUUUAUAUAUAUAUAUUAGAUAGAUAGAUAAAAGAUAGAUAUUAUUAUUUUUAUUCUAAGUCUAAGUUGUCCGAUCAAACGAUCGGACGGUUCAUAUUAAGUCAAGAGUUUCAAAAUUUCUUUUGUCUUUCCCAUAAAAAAAUGCGUGACUCCUCUUUCCCCAAAGUCGGAGAAACAUUUCAAAUUUUUCAGAACCUCCAUCGACCUCUCCCUUUCAAUUUCCCCAAAACACAGCAACCAACAACCCUUCUUCUUCUCUCCUUCUCCGGCUCCUCCACCAUCACCAAACGAGUAGCCCUAUCCACGUCACCACUACCUACAGCGCUUCUGUAAAUAGCCCACCUAUUUUCAUUCAUCCCCAACUCGUGAAUCUCAAUGACAGUGGAGCAACAGUAACCAAAUCAAUGCAAGGGCUUAAAAUUAAUUUGAAAUCCGCAUUAAAGGUCUGAGAUUCAACCAAAUCGAGAGAGGAGUCGUCCCUUUCAGUUUUUUGAAUAUGAAUUCAUCAUCUUUAUCUAACCGUUGGUUUCUAUGAAAUCUUGGUUUCAAAUUUGGAUUUUGAAAUUUGAAUUUGCCUAUAAAUACCCAUAAUUUUUUUCAAUUUGGAAUAAGUUUUGAGGAUGGGUGAUUGAAAAAUGAGUGAACAUUUUUACAAGCAAGAAUUACAAAAUCCAUUACUCUUAGGUCUGAGUUUGAAUUUUUGAAAAACUCGAAUUUGUGGUCAGAAUAUUGACGUCAAAUCUCCUGGCUUGCAGCACAACACAAGUUACGUAAUGAAACUCAAUUUCACUCAUAUUAUUGGGUUAACAGUUAUAGGAUCGUCAACUUUCGGAGUCUACAUCGUUAGGAGUGGUUUCCUCCAAAAAAGAACUUAGGGAUCGUUUGGUAGAGUGUGUUAAAAAAUUUAAUGCAUGCAUUAUUCUUGUGUUCUAGUAAUACCUUGUUUGGUUCAUUUUUUAGCCUAUGCAUAACUAAUGUUUGUAUUAGUUACACACUCUUUUGUAUAUUAAGUAUUGUAUUACUAACACCGCCAUUUUCUAGGUAUUAAUAAUACAAAGUAUUUUAAUACAUGUAUUAUCUUGUUAAAUGACAAAUUUACCCCUUAAAUCCUUACUAAAAUAUUUUGUCAUUUUCUCUUCACUUUGCCUUGCCUUCUCUUCACUUUGCCUCUAUUUUUUUUUCUUUUUUAAUAUAUUAGCCAUGGAAAAGUAAGGUAAUAUUCACUGCACCUUCUUCCUUUCUUCCCUCAAUGAGAUAUUACUCUUCUCCACUAAAAUUGAAUGUUGGAUUUUUGGGUAUAGAUUUGAAAUUGGAUUCUUUAUUUUGGAGGUUAUGAAUAUGGGGAAUGAGGGUUUGGGAUUGAAGUUUUGACUUGUUUGAGACUCCGUCAUGAAAAUGGUUAAACAUCCAAAUAUUAUUGAGCUUCAUGAAGUUAUGACAAGCAAAACGAAUAUAUAUAUUUCUAUGGAGUUUGUUAAAGACGGUGAAUUAUUUGAAAAAGCAGCUAAAAGGAAGUUAUAGGGAAGAUAAUGCAAGAGGUUAUUUUCAACAAUUGAUAUCUACAAUUGAUUUUUGUCAUAGUCGUGGUGUUUAUCAUAGAGAUUUGAAGCCUGAGAAUUUGUUGUUAGAUGAAGAAGGCGGAACAAGCUUAAAAUAUCCAAUUCCUUGAUCUGUUCUAAUAAAAGAACAAAAAAAAAAAGAAAAGGGUAAAGGAUAUUUUUGUCAACAAAUAUUUUCUUAUAAAAAUUAUACCAACAUAUAUUAUUCUUAAUACAUCAAACCAAAUAGUGUAAUGCAAGCACAAUUAAUACCAACAUUACUAAUGCAAGCAUUACUAAUA